CUAGGACUGCCUGUUUACCUUUACACUGCCUAUUCCCCUCCCUGUUCUCCUUUACUGUUGGCCAAAUGAGUUAGAGCUCUAAAUUGAAUUCCAUCUUCAUGUAUUUCUUCCAGAGGGCUCGCUAAUUAAGAAUUUAAUUAUGGCUGAGAGCAAAACACAGGCAACAAAACCCCCUCAUGUUUAAAACAUCUUUGGACUCGCUCUCCCCCUCUCUGCCUUUGCUUCCUUCCACCCUCUCAUCUUGCCUCUGUGAGCCAACUCUCCAGAAGCUAUUUGUCACAAGCAGAUGUUUCAGAGAACCAUGACCUCCAAAGUGUGGUUGCUGGGGAAUGGGAGCUUGGCGCCAGUUCUGAUUGGAAACCUGCAGAGCAGAGAGGGCAUGGUCAAGGAUUUAAUAAAGAUUUUGAGACUGAAGCUGAUGACGAGUCUAUUUCCCUGGACUUGAGUCAGCUGUUUCUCCAUCUGGCAUUCCAGCACCUGGGGUAAGCCUUCCUCUACAAACUGCUUUCCCCCGCCUUUCCAAGGUCUCCCUGUGUAAACUGAUUUUCCAUUUUUG
rnacentral:lncRNA from 15 species